rnacentral:tRNA from 1 species
UAUAGCUCAGUGGUAGAGUGCAUGCUUAGCAUGCACAAGGUCCUGGGUUCAAUCCCCAGUA